rnacentral:tRNA from 1 species
GCUCCGUUCGUCUAGCCCGGCCCAGGACACCGCCCUCUCACGGCGGAGACACGGGUUCAAAUCCCGUACGGAGUAC